UACGUAGGGAGCAAGCGUUGUUCGGAUUUACUGGGCGUAAAGGGCGCGUAGGCGGCAAUUCAAGUCAGCUGUGAAAUCUCCGGGCUUAACUCGGAACGGUCAGCUGAUACUGCUUUGCUAGAGUGCGGAAGGGGCAAUCGGAAUUCCUGGUGUAGCGGUGAAAUGCGCAGAUAUCAGGAGGAACACCGGUGGCGAAGGCGGUUCUCUGGGAAUGUCCUGACGCUGAGGAGCGAAAGUGUGGGGAGCGAACAGG
rnacentral:rRNA from 1 species